rnacentral:rRNA from 1 species
AUUGAACGCUGGCGGCAUGCCUUACACAUGCAAGUCGAACGGCAGCACGGGUGCUUGCACCUGGUGGCGAGUGGCGAACGGGUGAGUAAUACAUCGGAACGUACCUUAUCGUGGGGGAUAACGCAGCGAAAGCUGUGCUAAUACCGCAUACGCCCUGAGGGGGAAAGCGGGGGAUCGAAAGACCUCGCGCGAUUAGAGCGGCCGAUGCCUGAUUAGCUUGUUGGUGGGGUAAAAGCCCACCAAGGCGACGAUCAGUAGCUGGUCUGAGAGGACGAUCAGCCACACUGGGACUGAGACACUGCCCAGACUCCUACGGGAGGCAGCAGUGGUGAAUUUUGGACAAUGGGGGCAACCCUGAUCCAGCAAUGCCGCGUGGGUGAAGAAGGCCGUCGGGUUGUAAAGCUCUUUUGUCAGGGAAGAAACACCGGCUCUAACACAGUCCGGGAAUGACGGUACCUGAAGAAUAAGCACCGGCUAACUACGUGCCAGCAGCCGCCGUAA